CUUAUUAAUCAAAAUAAUUAAAUUAAAACCUUGUUGAUAUUUGAGUGGCGUGGAAACGCGCGUUUCUUAAUUGCCAUCUUUGUGACAUCACGAGUCCGUUUCUUUCAUGCAUGGCCGUACACGUAACGACUAUGCUCUGGUGUGUGCGCAUGCUGAUUGUUGGAGUAAUAUAUAUAGCUUGUUAAGAAAAUGUGUAGCGCCUUUGCAGACGUGUAACAUUACGCGUUCUUCGGAUACUUUCGAAAAGAUAUAAAAGGAAAGGAGCGAAAUAAGACUAUGAUCAUAAUGAAUGUGUAUUCUGACGAAUGAAACAUCUCAAGGACGAUGUAACUAUGUUAUAUAUCUCUUAAUAAUGUCAAAACGUUAAUUCGUCAGAAAACGCUCCGUAUCCAUAUCGUAAUAAUGAGCCUUACUUGUGGUAGUGUGCCUUUGACUAAAUUAGGUAUAUCUUCCUUUUUGAAACCUAAUUCAGUCAAACCAUUUUCAAUUUUCAUCACUUGCAUGUACCCUUUUACAACGUCUGAUAAUAUUUUGCCAGCAUCACUUCUUUUAGCUCGAUUAAUAUCAGCACCAAGUAAUUCAGCAGCUUCUAAAUGCCUUUCUGCACAUCCAUUU